rnacentral:rRNA from 1 species
GACGAACGCUGGCGGCGUGCCUAAUACAUGCAAGUAGAACGCAGUUGCGAACGGGCGAGUAACGCGUAGGUAACUGCCUCAUAGCGAGGGAUAACUAUUGGAAACGAUAGCUAAUACCGCAUCCAGUGAGAUGGACCUGCGUUGUAUUAGAUAGUUGGUGAGGUAAAGGCUACCAAAGGUGACGAUACAUAGCCUACCUGAGAGGGUGUUCGGCAACACUGGGACUUAGACACGCCCCAGACUCCUGCGAGAGGCAGCAGUAGGGAAUCUUCGGCAAUGGACGGAAGUCUGACCGAGCAACGCCGCGUGAGUGAGGAAGGUUUUCGGAUCGUAAAGCUCUGUUGUUAGAGAAGCAGUGACUAACCAGAGAGGGACGGCUAACUACGUGCCAGCAGCCGCGGUAAUUC